rnacentral:rRNA from 1 species
GCUUACACAUGCAGUCGAGCGGUAAGGCCCCUUCGGGGGUACACGAGCGGCGAACGGGUGAGUAACACGUGAGCAACCUACCCUCAACUCUGGGAUAAGCCUCGGAAACGGGGUCUAAUACCGGAUAUCACCUCUUACUUCAUGGUUUGGGGUUGAAAGUUCUGGCGGUUGGGGAUGGGCUCGCGGCCUAUCAGCUUGUUGGUGGGGUAAUGGCCUACCAAGGCGUCGACGGGUAGCCGGCCUGAGAGGGCGACCGGCCACACUGGGACUGAGACACGGCCCAGACUCCUACGGGAGGCAGCAGUGGGGAAUAUUGCGCAAUGGGCGAAAGCCUGACGCAGCAACGCCGCGUGAGGGAUGACGGCCUUCGGGUUGUAAACCUCUUUCAGCAGGGACGAAGCGAGAGUGACGGUACCUGCAGAAGAAGGACCGGCCAACUACGUGCCA